rnacentral:tRNA from 2 species
AGUAAAGUCAGCUAAAUAAGCUCUCGGGCCCAUACCCCGAACAUGUUGGUUAAAACCCUUCCUUUACUA